rnacentral:misc_RNA from 1 species
AGAGAGAGAGAGAGAGAGAGAUUUAAUUUAUACAUAUUCAUGUUAUACAUUUACCAGUCACGAUAUACACAAAUGGGUAUAAUCACAAUAAAAAUCCUAAAAAAUACCAAUGAACUUUUAAAUUACUGGUAUUAGAUUCGUUUCCAAGAUUCAGGAUAUGGAGCCUUAGUCAGGGACUAAUGAACCAAAGAAACCUAAAAAAUAUCAUGGACUUCACAUCGAUGCCCAUCGAAAGGCCUUAUAGAUCCUUAAGGAUAUAUUAUCACAUCCAACCAUAAAAGAAUGAUCAAUGAGACUGUUUCUGGGAAAGUGAAGCUGAUUAAUGAAUCCAAGCACAACUUGGAACUUAUAGGUAUGAGGCUCUCAUAUGUUCCACCAUUUACGUUUCUCCAUUUGUUUGGCAAGUUCGCUUGCCAUUGAUGCAAAGUUUUCAGCCCCACUUUGCAGCUCUUCGGUGCGCAGACUGAGCCUCUGGGGUGGACAACAAAAAGUUAUGAAAAACUUGGUAAAAUUAAAUAACUCAAUACAGGAAAGUGUACAAUACACAAAUUUACUAGUAAAAGAAAAUUAAUUACGAUGAUGGCGAUGGUGAUGGUGAUUUAGUGUUUAUGAGGGUUGCUUUUCUUAGGUCAUAGUAAUAACUAAUAAUUUAUCUUAAGAGUGUUUGUUAAAGCCAUUCUAUAAGGUAUUCUUAACCAUAUUUCAAGGGCAUUAUUUGAAAAAUCUAGCCUUAAAGACAGCAUAAACUUCCAUAUGAAACUAUUCAUUCCAACAAAAAUAUAAAAGGAAGCCAAAAAAAAAAGACCUCAAGUUUUUCCCCACGUUCUGCAAGCUUGUCCCUUGCACGUGCAGCUGCAGCAGAAGCAUCCUCCUUCCUAUAUUUGGCCUUAAUUUCUUCGGCUGUUCUAAGUCUUGGCUUUGAAUCAGAAGUUGCACCCUCAAAUAAUCUUCCCCUUUCUGUUCCUUUAUCUUUUAUAUCUUUCUUACUCGUCUCUGAUGAAGGCAAGACAACAAGAGGUUCAUCAAUACUAAUGUCAUCUAUGUUUAGCUCCAAAACUUUCUGGUUAUCCAUGAUGUCCAGAGAAGGCUUUAAGAAUGGGGGACUGGAAAAUAUGGCUUGUAAAUGUGAAAAGUUAUUCUUGCAAACUUCAGGAAGAUCCACAUUGUGUUCCCCUUUACCAGCUUGGAGACCCUUAACGAAACCACCUAGAAUCCCAGAUGGAGCAACCUGUACGUUCUUCUGACUGGGACAUAAACUGAUAGGGGCCUCAGCAGCAGCGGCAAGGACUUUAUCAUGUAGGGUAGGCAAUGAUUCUGGAAUCCUGAAGAUAUUUUCGCUGGGCAGAAGAGAAACAGAAGCAAAUUCACACCCAUUUACCAGCAUAAUAUGUGCAGUGUCAGAUGAACACAUUGUCUUCUCCAUGUUAGUCUUAAAGUUCCACCUUAGAAUUGACAUUAUAAAGCUUUCUCCUACCACUUCAAGAUCUGACAAAGACCUGCCAAAUAUAAAUUUUGCUUCCAUUUGUACACUGAUUAAUUGAGCUCAAUGCACUAGUAUUAAGAUUGAUAAAGUACAUCAAUUUCCACUAGAGGUGAGAUACAACCAGGUUCUGCUGUUAACCAAAGGUAUGAUGAGUGCUUUACCUUAUUCCAAUCACACCAGUCCUAUAAGAGGACAAUGAACCACACUCUUUAUCAUCCCUCUUGAUGGUGGUAGUCCAACAACAUGGUUUCAAAGGAUUCACCUUUCAAAUAGCAUUACUAUUGCCCCAAAAUGAGAAAGUUUCAGCCACUGGAAAUUAGGGAUGCAUAAUUUUGCAAGUCAAAACUGAAAAUGGAUAAAAUCAAAGGCACCUCAUUAAGAGACUUCAUAGAGUAUUAAUGCAACUCAUCCUCGCAACAAAUCAGAAGAAGUAAAUUUUCUACUCUCUGCCUAGAAUAGGCAGUUUCAGCAGAGGUUUCACAGUCAACUUGAAGAAGAGCACUUCCACAGGGAGUGACACCCUGAUUAUGUUCAAUUUUAGUUUCACUCUUCCAAGUCCAGUCCAAGAAUCUUUUUUGCUGAAAACUACAGAGAUUAAGUUCCCACUCCAAAAUUCAUACAACUUGAAGGCAGCAAAGGAUAUCUAUUCUUCACCCAGAUGAAAAUACUUGCCUAUGAUAUGCAUAAAAAUUACAAUCAACUCCUUUUAAUGUUUUAUUGAUUGAGAGCAUACUUAAACUGUCAGUAUUGUAAUCUAUAAUGACAACAUGUGCAUCUUUGUUCAUAGGGAACACUUCCCACUUCACAAGAUCUGCCUUGCUUUUGGACUCACCGUGCUCUGGAUUACUUAUUGAGCUAAUAGCAUCUGAAAUGACUUCACAGCCAGAGACUUGACAGGCGAUGUAGAGUUGGAUACCAGUAAGAAAUAACACUGAUAAUGGACUCAUAUCAAGCAUUGCCACCUUGCCACAGUGAAAUCCCACAGCAAGUCUGGUUCCACAAUUUGCAAACUGUAUUAUGCAUAUUGGAGAACUGAGGAAGGAAAGAUAGCUAUGAAUUGAGGCCAAUCCCCUUUGUGCAACGUGUGGACUGCACAAUUACUUAAUAUGCAAUUAAAACUGGAAAAAAGCAAAACAGCCAUGCCCAGUUGGUCAAUGUCAUGAGGGACCAUAAAGUAGCUUUAAUCUAAUGUCAUUAGCAAAAAAAAUUAGAGAGUACAACUUCUCUAGAAUGAGUAGAAAAUAAAUUAGUUUUAAUUGUUAUACUACAAAUCACAGGUAAAGGAAAAUAAUAAAUGUCCUCAAACCCAUGUUGAACUCGACAACAAUUCCCUUUCGAGAUCUUACUGCAUAGUUUAAGUUUGUUGGAAGAUAAGCCUCCUACGUCCUACCAGAAACAAAAAUUGAAUAACAGAAAGAAAACCAAAACUUAAAAACACACACAAUACUCUCUCUCUCUCUUCAAUCUUCAGAAAGAAAUCAUGACGACUAUUCUUAAACUUCUUCACAAUAUCCAAACCUAGAGCACCAAAACUGUUAAGGUGGGGCAGCAUUUUCAUUUGAAUGCCAUUAGCAAAAAAUUUUAAUGGACUUCAACUUCAAACCCGGGAAUUUAGACUGGCAACUUUGGCUUUAAUUUCUAAUCAACCAAGCUGCUUAGAUGGCUCUAAUGAGUGAUUAGAAAAAUGGCAAAGAGUUGGUCCUUUCUGAAUGUAUAGAACUCUCCCCCACUGAUAAUACUCAUGAACAAAACUAAAUGAACUCAUAGUUUGACAUCAUAUGAAUACUCCCUUUCCCUGCUACAUGAUGGUAAAAGAGUCUUCAAGUGCAUUGCAUGGCCAUUACAGGUAAGUGGAUGAUAUCGUUGCUUUUUCUUCUCUAACUUCAGUCACAGAAAUGCGCACAGCAUGGUUAUAUAAAUAACCAAUGUGAGCGGUAAAACACUAAAACUAGAUAGGUAAGACAACCAUACUAUUGUAUUCUGCUAUAACAUGCAAGGUUUAAAAGAAACAGAAUAAACCAAAGCAUAAGUGGAAAGCCUUUUAAGGUUCGUAACAAUGGUAGACAACUAUCCAAAUUAAAAUCAAUUGACAGACUCCUAUCACACAUAACUAUUAAAGGCUGUAACACGACCAACAGCCAAUAUGACAUCUAGAGAUAUAAGAAACUCUGUCACCUGAUAGAGCUUUGGCAGAACAUUAUUCCUUCAAAAUUCUAAAAACCGUCCACAAAAGCAUGAAGUAUUGAUUGCUGAAUCAUCUAAAUGUUACAAUAAGUAUUAGUAACUCGAGCAUACAUGUUGAAAAGAAUUUUCACAAUCUUCCACAUUAGCAGGCACCCUUUUUUGUUAUGCCCUUCCAAGCAAUUCAAUGAGAACGUUUUUCUAAACAAGACAAACCAAUUGGAAUUUACUAAGAGGCGAAUAAUUAAUUCAUUCUCAACUUCCUAAGACAUUAUAUGUUCUAAUUAUAAAAAUAUAUUUACAAAUCUAGAUAGCUAUGUCACCUGUAUACUGGCUCCCAUAAGAUAAGCACACAUUCUUCUGAAGUUUGCAUCAAGUUCAACCAACUGUACAAGAAAUUACUUCAAAAACACGGUGAAUUCUCAUAUUGUCAGUUGAUUAAAAGCAAGAUUUGCCUUUAAAUAAGAUCUUCAAAAUACAAUUCCUCAACUAGGCCUCAAAUUUUCCUGAUGGAAUCCAAGUAUUUUCCCAAAACCACGUCCCUUAGUUUCUUAAGAAAAGCAUUUUGGCUCUUACUGACUGAAGACGGAAAAGGCAGCAUUUUGGCAACAAGAACAAAAUUCUCUCCAUUUCCAACAUCAAUUUCAUACAGCUCAUUAAAAAAACUCCCGGAAUUUAUGUAUUAGUGUAUCAUAGAAUGGCCUGCUUGGAGGAAUCACAUUGAUAAUAAGAAUUCCAAAAUCACAAAGAACAGAACUUGCAGCAAAAAGAAUAUGGCUCUGAAUAAGCUCCAUCGGAGGAGCACUGAUACCACUCAUGGCAUCACAGGAAUCCAAAUCAACCAUAAUAACGUCAAACUUAGUAUUGAAAACAGUUGCAUGGUUCAAAUGAUCUUCCUCAUCACUACAAGAAACCAAAUUUGAGGAACUGCCUCCACUAGCGAUUGUCUCUAAAUACUGUAUUGCGUCUCCUACGAAAACCUGAAUUUCGCAUUCUUGCAAUCCAAAAUACUGUCUUGCAACCCUUAAAACCUCCUCAUCCAUUUCCACACCAAAAACUUCAAAUCCGAAUUGGCUUCUCAAAAAACUAAGCAAAGCCCCACCUCCAACUCCUAAACACAAAGCUUUAGGCUUAUACCCAUUUUGAAUCCUAUCCUCAAUAUGAGGACCUACCAAGGACAGACCACUUACCAUUGGUAUCAAAUAUGGAUGCACCAAAACCCCAGUAUCAGGCCUAAACUGCACUUUACCACCAAUUCUUAUUCGAUCUAAAACAAAAUCUGGUUCAGGCACUAUUCGGAUCUCUGUUUGAAUCAAGUUCGGCAUUCUUUUAAACCUCAUUCUCCUCCUAAACUCUCGUUCUCUACAAUUAUCAUCCAAUUCACUGUGACUCUCUAUCUCAACAUCUUCAACAAGCAUUUCACCCACCAAAACCCCAACGCUUCUCUCUAAAACCACACUACAAAUCAAGUUAUCUUCAUAAUGCAAGAAGGGCAUAUCAAAGAUCCCAUUUUUAACAGAAAGCUUGGGAGAUAAAGCGAUAAGAAGAGGUUUUAAGCUAUUUUCAAGGUUUUUCACGAACUGGGUAUCUUUAUCUCUCUUGUGCGAAAUCAUGAGAGAAUCAGGAACAUUGAUGGGGUUUUUUCCGAUCAAUAUGAGCCGAGAGAUUCCAGGAGAGGAGAGGAGAAGCUGGAGAUGACCGGACUCGGUGGAGAAAAUCCAGUCUGAUUCGCGGUUUUCAGGGACAAAAAGAGCGGCGACAAUGAGCGAGUCGCUGGUUUGGAUGGGUGAAUCGAGAACGGCCACACGAAGAAGGUGGGUGUGGAGAGUAGGGUGAGGGACAGUGAAGGAGAGGAAGCGAGAGGGGAUUAUGGUUUCAAAGAUCGUAACGUCAAGAGCCAUGGAGUUUGUUUGUUUGAUUUGUUCUUGUUGCAGAACGAAGAGGGAAAAUGAUAGAAAAUUUGAAAUUGAUGGGAGCCCCUGUGCUAAUGCGCUCUUAAGAUAUUCAUGGGGUACGCAGAAACUAGUCAGCUGAACCUCAAAUAAGCUUCAAUUCAACUGAUUAAUGAUCAGCACCAAUAUGAUUUCAAAAUUCAGAGACUCAGAAGCUGCAGCCAACGAAGAAGACGACUAGGAUCUUUGACUUUUUCGAUCCUCAUGAACCUAGAAGGAGUGCAAGAGGAAGAAUGAUUUGGUUGCCAAUUUAUGUCAGCAGAAUUAUCCCAAAAUUAUCCCAAAAUAAACAUAAAUUAUCCCAAUUUAUGUUUCAGAUUUGAAUGGGUGAAAAUAGUUUCUGCAAAAUCGAUUUGGUGGGUAUCCAAAUCGAUUUGAAGGGGCUUAAUC